UAAAAGUAGUAUGUAAAUGUCAUUCUCAUUUUUAGUGUUAAUUGCAAAAUGCUUUACAAAUAUUGAAUCAUUUUGACCUCAUAAUAACCCUGGGAGGUAUGUGCCAUUAUUAUUCCUAUUUUACAGUAGAGGAAACUGAGACAAAUUGAGGUUCAGUGUCCAGGAGUCACAGAACUGCUAAGUGUCUGAGGUUGGAUUUGAACUCAUUUUCCCGAUUCCAGGUCCAGAGCUCUAUCCACUGUACCACCUCUGAAGAAUGUUAACAUUUACUAAGUGUCUUGACUGAGCCUUUCUGAUCCUUAGAAUAUCUCCUGGAUUCUUUCAAGCAACACAGUUUAUGCCCAGGUGAAUUACCAGAAGUGGAUAAUAAUCAUCCAGUUGGACAAGUCUUGGCAGUCAUGCUCUGGAAACAUUCUUUGGAUGGAUAGAAGACAUUUCUAUUAUUAUUGGGUCAAGAAUUAGUUACCUCCACAGGAAGUCAGUGGUCUGGAUAAUCUCUCAGCAUACAGAAGCUACAGAGUCUUAUCAUUCUGACUUGGAAGAUGUUGGAUGGAGAGAGAGAGACCCUUGGACAUUGAGACUGAGGACCACCACAAGAUAUGCCAGAAGAAAAUAGCCUGUGGCAGAUCAUACUUAGCUGGAAAGGUUUCCACUCAAGGUCUGGACCAACAUCAGCCUAUGAACUAUUCACUUUGGAGGUGAUUUUCCUGGAUACUUUGUCAGUCUGAAUACAGAACACAAUCUUCCUCAAAAAGUCUACCUCAGAAGCCAUUUUAAAGGUAAUCAAUUUACUACAUUCUGUGGAAAACCAAUUUCUACAGUAUUUCCAUUUUCCUUAUUUCCCUUUAUUUGAAUCUCAGUACUG
rnacentral:lncRNA from 1 species